rnacentral:sRNA from 1 species
UAGCGCGCUCGUACAGGCCAGCGAUGGGCUGGUAGGGGUUCACUGAUGCGAUGAUGGAGCCGAUGUAGGUCUGCAAGCAGAGGGGAAAGAUCAGAUCAGAAUGAAGGAAGCUACUUCUUCUCCAGCAGCCUGCCUGCCUACUGCUACAUUCGCCACCAUGAUGAUAAUGAACUAACCCUCUGAAGCAGUAAGCAAGCCUCAAUUAAAUGCUUCCAAUGAGUUUCCUUGGCUAUGGUGUCUCUUCAUAGCAAUAGAACAGUAAUUAACACACCCAGCGAGGAGGGCCAUAUGCAUACCAUGGGGCGGGACCUUAGCUGCCAAACAAGACCCUUGGGCAGGCAGAGGCCAGUACUCUGACCUCUUCUGGCAGACAGGAAGAAGACGCCUCUACAAUUCCUUGGUGGGUGAAUGAGGGUAAGGACGGGAAUUGGGUUUUGAUAGACACCCCUGUGGACUAACAGCAAUGGUUUCUACCGCCCGCCAAUGUGCAGAACUCACUCAGCCCAAGAUCCCCCAUCUCUCUCCCUCCAUCCCACGUCUGAAAAAAGCUGAUAUAAAAGCUCAACUACUUUUACACAACUAAGUAUGCACGACAUAACAGGGGUCAAGCAAGGAAUGAAUGAAUGAAUGAAUGAAUGAAUGGGCUGUGUAUGGCAGAGGGGUUUCACAGCUGCCCCAGUCUCUGUUAGCACACUCUCUGAUGUCCGCCUCAUUAGCAAGUUGCCUAGAUCAUUUCUCAGGCAUCAUCUCCCCACCACUCAGCUAUGUGACUGCAUUCUCAGAACAGUGGCUUCAGCCACAGAAGGGUCCUUACCAGUGAACUUUAACUGUCAUUGCCAAUGUAGGUGGCAAAGCACAUGUCUGAACCUCACAGCAGAUGUAUGUUUUGAAAGAACCACCAUGGUCAUGGCUCACGAUACUCUAUUCAAACAAUGAGCUUCGGCAUUUGAAACGUAGUCAAAAUAAAUAUGGUCAAAGGCACCCCCAACCCCCAACUAAGGGCAUCACUCUUCGAAAAGAUGGUUUUGUCUCUAAAGCACGGGCUGUGUGCUUAGGGUCAGUAAAUAACAAGAGAUCUCCGACAAGCAGCUAAGCCGCAGGUGGAGGAAGACAGGCCGGGUGCGGGGCGGAAGACAGGGCGCUGGAAGAGACCCUGACAGCUGGGAAGCAGCACUGCUCGCAAGCUUUGAUCAUUCUGCGCUCUAUAAAAAGAUAUGAUUACCGCUCCCAAAAUGGCCCCGAUAGCUCUGCAGCUUAAGGCUGGGGACACAUGCAGGUACCAGCUCCUGCAUGUUGCAUUCCAAAUUCCACAACGCUAAAUAACUCCAGUCGUUUUAAUGGCCGUCCAGAAAUAGAAAAUACAUCCUAUUUGGAAGCAAGUUAACUUUGCCAGAAAAGUUCCACAUAACUCACCCUCAAAAAACAUAAUAAUUCAGAACAGCCACUGCACAUGUGGCCCAAAAGUGUUAAGAGAAACUCACUGUGUUUCGACAACAUCAAAUCUACCAACUAAGGGCUUGUAAAACAACAGAACGUACCUAUAUCUAACCCAUGGAAAAUAUAAUAUGGAAAAUAUAAUUUGAUUUCACAGAACAUGUGUAUGAUAAAAACAAAGCAGUGCUUAGUCUUACAUGUAACUUCUUAGCCUUUUGACUAAGAUCAAGACUGCACCCUGUAUCUAAGACCGACAUGGUAGAUGGACUUUCACAGGAGGAAAAUGGAAUAGCCUGCUCCGUCCACUCCACACAUUGGCUUGGCCUUGCAGUACCUCUAGGAGCUGUGUAUCCCACCUUCCUGUAACCUCAAGGAUAACUUAAAACCUCGUAGAAGCCACAGACUUUAGCCAUAGUGAGUUACAGACAUGGAGGGCUAUACCACUGGUGGACUGUCAGAGCUCCCUUCAUGGAAAAGGCUAAUCUCAAUAUCAUGGUCUGGAGAAGUUCAAACACUUGGUCCUCAGCCAGGGGUCACCUUCCCUGAUACAUGGCCUAACCUCUCUAAACCAAGAUUCUGAUCAGCUAUCGCAUGGUCCCCUCUGUUAGCACCCAAGUUUACUAUCUGGAAGUGCUCUGUAAGUUAGAGGUGUUUAUUCCCGUCAUUGCUAACAACCCUUUUCGUCCUAUGGUCCUGCAAGGGUACACAGAGAUCAAGUAGGCUGAAUGUACCAGAGAAACCAGUUAGCUAUGGUUCAUGCGGUGAUGUAUUUUUUGCUGAAGGAAAAACCAGUUAAGUGGAAAUCAUUUAUUGGGGAUUUAUUUCUCACCCAUCAUUUCCCCUCUCCUCUUGGCGCCAUGCCAGUUCAAUACAGCAAUGAUUCACUUUCUGAAUCUUUACCUUGUGUGAACUACAGCUUGAAGUCCAUAUUCUCAAUGGACUACCACACCCUCUUCCCCUGGAUGCCCAGAAAUGGCUCAGAAGCAACAUGGAGGGGACAACCUCUUCUGAGCACCUGUUUCCCCACACCAGAGCAGACCUCGACAAAUGGCAAUUCAGCGAUCUUGUAGAAAUUCAGACUUUAGGGCCAACCUGAUGCCUCAGGCAUGAAAAAGACACUUGUCAGGAAGCCUAAUGACAGUUGUCCAACCCCCAGGACCACAGUAGAGACAGAACCAGCUCCCACAAGCACUCCUCUGAUCGCCUCAUGUGCACCAUGGCAUGAUGGCAUGCGCUUCUCUGACUCUCCAUGACUCACCAAGGAAAAUGUCAUUGUUUUCCAACAGGUUAAUGGGUCAAUACUCCUCCCAGACCUGAUGCAUCCUAACCUUUAGCCCAAAUCUGAGUUCUCCUAAAACUAUGUGUUUUCUGCCAUCACAUUUUGGUGAGUUGCCUUGGCCACCCAGUAUGCAGCUUUUCUUCAUGGUAACUGCCAUGAAGAAAGCCCUUGAAAUGCCUUGAAAGCCCUGCACUGGAUAAAUGUGCUGUGGUGGUUUGAAUGAGAAUGGCCCUCAUGGGCUCCCAGGGAGCGGCGCUAUUAGUAGUUGUAGCCUCGUGGGAGGAAGAGUGUCACUUGGGAGUAGACUUUGCCCCUCAAGCAGGCCUAGUGGCUCAGAGUUUCCUCCUGUUGCUUGCAGAUCCAGAGGUAGAACUCUCAGCUCCUUCUCCAGCACCAUGUCUGCCUGCGUGCCAACAUGUUUCACGCUGUGACGAUAAUGGCCUGUUUUGCCAGCUCCAGUAAAUGUGUUCCUUUGUAAGAGUCGCAGUGGUCAUGGUGUCUCUCCACAGCCAUAGAAACCCUAAGACACGCAUCAAGGUAUUUUACUCUUUGCAUACACCCGUCUGCUGCCUGGAGAGCUUCUUUGCGCCUUAGCCAAAUGUCCCCAAGUGCUCCAAGGCCUAAGACUUGCCUGAGGAUCAGUCUCUGCUGCUUCCUCAUCCUGAUGCUCAUCCACUGGAGUCAGCACACUCACUGUCUCCCUGAGUUCCAGUCAGCGGCUUGCUCGUGUCUGUCCUCACCAAUCAAUUAAGUGCCUUCCACUUCUGCCAUCUUUCAACACAAAGCUACUGUGGACAAGAGGAAUUCUGCAACCCCGGAGCCUAGUGCAGAGUCAGAUAUUCAGGCAAGGCUAACUCAAUAUGGACAUCCUGGAAAUAUAUAUUGCCAAUACCCCCACCCCAAUAUACUCAUACGUUUGUUCCAUUCAAGGGUGCUCUCUGCUCAGUACCUUCUGCAUAAGAAAACGAUUUGCCAUGGUUUGAUUUCACCAAAUGAAAACAUUGCUAAACAAAAGAACAUUAAAUGUUAAACGUCUAUGGAUUUUCAAAAGAUGCCAACAUCAUAAGAGCUCAGCGACUGGUUAUAGACUCUUCAACAUCUCCACUUCCCACUGAGUGAAUUUAUGUUUCAAAUUCUCCUCCUGUUGAAAAGAGUCUGAACCAAAGGAAAGACAGGGUGUGUGCGGAACAUCACAAAAACGCAGGUCCUAAUUGCCACCAUCGUGUGCUGAUGUAGAGACUGCCAGCUCAAGGGCCCAGUUUGGUAAGUUUUAAGAAGACACAGAACCAGCCAGAUGGUUACAAUUACAUCUUGGCAACACAAGUCUUGAUUUCAAGUAAGGGUAAAAAAAAAUGUCAGAACACAAGAGCCUCCUCACAAACCACACCACACUCGGCUGUUCCUGGUGUGUGUCUUGUGCCAAAUCCAGGCUAAGCACCCAAGUCGUAGGCUCUCCUGACAUUUGUGACAAGGAGAGAUUUAAAAAACAAACAAACAAACAAACAACAACAAACAAAAAACAAAACAAAAACCCCAGACACUUUAACAAGGGAAGGAAGCAAAUCAAGAGGUUUACUUAGGAAGGAAGACUCAGCUCGUGGGAAUGAAAUACAAA